rnacentral:rRNA from 1 species
UACGUAGGGUGCGAGCGUUAAUCGGAAUUACUGGGCGUAAAGCGUGCGCAGGCGGUUUUGUAAGCCAGAUGUGAAAUCCCCGGGCUCAACCUGGGAAUGGCAUUUGGGACUGCAAGGCUGGAGUGUGGCAGAGGGGACUAGAAUUCCUGGUGUAGCAGUGAAAUGCGUAGAUAUCAGGAGGAAUACCGAUGGCGAAGGCAGGUCCCUGGGCUGACACUGACGCUCAUGCACGAAAGCGUGGGGAGCAAACAGG